GAUGAACGCUGGCGGCGUGCCUAAUACAUGCAAGUCGAGCGAACGGACGAGAAGCUUGCUUCUCUGAUGUUAGCGGCGGACGGGUGAGUAACACGUGGAUAACCUACCUAUAAGACUGGGAUAACUUCGGGAAACCGGAGCUAAUACCGGAUAAUAUUUUGAACCGCAUGGUUCAAUAGUGAAAGACGGUCUUGCUGUCACUUAUAGAUGGAUCCGCGCUGCAUUAGCUAGUUGGUAAGGUAACGGCUUACCAAGGCAACGAUGCAUAGCCGACCUGAGAGGGUGAUCGGCCACACUGGAACUGAGACACGGUCCAGACUCCUACGGGAGGCAGCAGUAGGGAAUCUUACGCAAUGGGCGAAAGCCUGACGGAGCAACGCCGCGUGAGUGAUGAAGGUAUUCGGAUCGUAAAACCCUGUUAUUAGGGAAGAACAUAUGUGUAAGUAACUGUGCACAUCUUGACGGUAACUAAUCAGAAAGCCACGGCUAACUACGUG
rnacentral:rRNA from 1 species